GAUGAACGCUAGCUACAGGCUUAACACAUGCAAGUCGAGGGGCAGCACUAGGUAGCAAUACUGAGGUGGCGACCGGCGCACGGGUGCGUAACGCGUAUCCAACCUUCCCGAUACUCUUGGAUAGCCUUCCGAAAGGGAGAUUAAUACAAGAUGGUGUUUCACUUUCGCAUGUUAUUGAAACUAAAGAUUUAUCGGUAUCGGAUGGGGAUGCGUGACAUUAGAUAGUAGGCGGGGUAACGGCCCACCUAGUCUACGAUGUCUAGGGGUUCUGAGAGGAAGGUCCCCCACACUGGAACUGAGACACGGUCCAGACUCCUACGGGAGGCAGCAGUGAGGAAUAUUGGUCAAUGGUCGGAAGACUGAACCAGCCAAGUAGCGUGAAGGAUGAAGGUUCUAUGGAUUGUAAACUUCUUUUAUACGGGAAUAAAACCUCCCACGUGUGGGAGCUUGUAUGUACCGUAUGAAUAAGCAUCGGCUAACUCCGUG
rnacentral:rRNA from 1 species